rnacentral:lncRNA from 1 species
GUUUUCCCUUUGUUAAUCAUGCCCAGAACACCCAUCUCUGACAUCUCCGCCUCUGAGAAAAACAACUCGGGUGCGAGAGGCCUACGUUGCAUCACCACUGGAGGCCAGUAGUUCCCAAUCAGCCUGGAAAGAAUAGUAAGACGUUGUCUCUCCUAAAAAGAGAAAAAGAAAGAGAAAGGAAAAGGAAAAAAACAAAACAAAACAAAAACCAACAACUCACUUUUAUUAUUUUUCUGUAGUAUUUCUGUUCUUCAGUUGAUUUACUUCUGCAUUGAUUUUUGUUUCCUUUUUUCAGUGAACUUUGGAUUUAUUUUGUUGUUUUUUUCCUGGUUUCUUGAGGUGUAAUGUUUAUUUGAAGUCUUUCUAAUUUUUUAAUGUAUGCAUUUAUGGUUAUAAACUUGACUCUUAAGAGCUGUUUUUGCUGUUUCCAAAGAUUUUGUUAUGUUUGUUUUCACUUUUGUUGGCCUCAAUAUAUUUUCAAAUUUCCCUUUUGAUUUGUUCUUUGAUCAAUCAGUUGUUCAAAGGCAAGUUGUUUAAUUUCCACGUAUUUUUUAAUUUUCCAGUUUUCCUUAUGUAGUUAAUUUUUAGUUUCAUACCAUUGUGGUCAGAAAAGAUACUCGAUGGGAUUGGAAUCAUUGUUAAUUUGUCUAAGAUGUACUCUUCAUUAUUUUAAUUGAUGUAUAAUUGUUGCACACAUUUUGGGGAUACACAUGAUAUUUUGAUAAACAUAUACAAUUUAUAAUGAUCGAAUCAGUGUAAGUAGUAUAUCUGUCACCUCAAAACUUUAUCUUUUCUUUAUGUUAGGAAUAUCCCAAUUCCUCUCUUCUAGUUAUUUUAAAAUAUACAAGAAGUUAUUUUGAGUUAUAGUCUCCCUAAUAUACUAUCAAAUACUAGAACUUAUUCCUUCUAUUUAACUAUAUUUUAUAUGCAUUAACCAAUAUCUUUUCUUCCUUCUCCCCUAUCUCCUUCCCAGCCUCUUGUAACCACUAAUUUUAAUAUAUGAUAUGACACAUGAAUUCAGUUUUUUCUACUUGUUUAUUUUUAUAUGGUUACAAAUAUGUCACAUCCAUUGCUUAAAAAGAAAAUCUUCAAUCGUUUGUUGAAAUAUUAUGCAUUUUUAAAUACAUUGCUUUUUCAAGAUUGUCAAAAAUCUGUUCUCAAUAUAUGUGUUCAUUUAUAUUUGGACUCUAUUUUCUUUUGAUCCAUUUAAUUGAUCACAUACCAAAGCUCUGUUGUGGCCAUUACAACUCUGUGAUUGUUCUUUAAAUCAGGUGGAGCUAGCCCUCCAAUUUUGCACUUCGUUAUACAGGCAUUUUGGUUAUGCUAGUUCAUGUUAAUUUUAGAAUCAGCUGCCAUUUUCUACCAACGAUGCAUGCUGAAAUUUUGAGUCGGAUUGCAUUGAAUUCAUAGAUCAAAUUAGGGGAAAUGAACAUCUCAACAAUAUUCUUACACAUGAGCAAACAAUAUCUUUCCAGUUAUUAGGCCUGCACUAUGUUCUCCGUGAAAUAUGCUCUAAUUUUCAGUCAUAUUCACAUUUAUGGAUUUUAUACACUUGACAUUAUUGUAAAUGGUAUUCCUUUUACAUUUAAAUUCUGCCGUGCAAUUGCAUAAACACAAUUUAUUUUUGCAUAUUGAUCUUAUAUCCUGCUAGAAACAAAUGCUUUUUGGAUUCAGGUUUGAUCGGCCAGUGGCAAUAUCUUUGGAAACUUGCGUAUUUACCAGGUAUGAAGAGUCUUUCUCAUUUCAAUUGGAGCUUUAUCACCAGCCCAAGGGAGAGGAAUGUCCUAACGCAUAUCAAGUUCUGAGGUUGGGAAGAGUUUGUCCUUUGUAGACAAAUGCAUGUGAAAUGUUCUGUAUGUUCACCAAUAAGUUUUCCUUAAGAUUACUCAUGCAGUUAUAAGGCUGCCCAUCUGCACUUGUGUUUAGCUGCAAUACUAUAGUUGUAAAAUUUAGAAGCCAAUGUUCUCCCUUAGUUUAAAAUUUAAUAUUCAAGAAUCUAUUCCAACAUUAUGUAGUGCCAAAAACUUUGGGAUGAUAUGCAAUGAUAUGUCCAGCAAGUAUGAGUUUGUACCUGAUCCUUAUUAAUCUUCCUUCUGAUGUGAUCUAUUAUAAAAUGAGACCUUUAAGAGCUUUAAAAUAAUUAAUAAUGGCAUGCUGAGGAGGUUAGUUUGUGGGAUAUUCAGUAGCCGUAGGAAACAGUAGUUCCUACUCUGUAUCUCAAGUGGGAGUCCACUCUUCAGUAUGUCAGCUUCAAGACCCUGAUCUGCAGUGGAAUUUGCAGCCCCCUGCUGUGUCAGCUUCAUUACUUCAAGGGAGGGUGAAUGCCUUCAGUUCUUUAGGUCACAAUUGACACAUGUAGCACAUUUUGGUACCUCUUCAGUUACUGACCUUUAUGCCCACUCAUGUCAGGCUUGCUCACCUGAGUGAUUCACAAGAUCACAUUCCCAAUGCAUCAGAUCACAGUGUCACAAAAAAAAAAAGCAUUUAUUUUUCGUUAUGUAUCUCUCCUGAAUUUCAACCUUGAUAGGCUAACAUGGCUCACAAACAGCUUUAAAUUUGGUUUCUCAAAUGUCUGUCUAAUGGUUUACAAAAGUCCAGUUACUCAAAUGAAUUUAUCUUACAGUCCGGUUUUCUAUUGUUCCAUGCUGUGCCUCAGUGACAUAAACCAAGAGUCAGUAUAUAAAAAAGAUUUAUUCCCACUGGUUUAUAACCAACCAAUAACUAGUAUGCCUGUUAUAUAUAGUUCUGUGCAUUGGGUUGCCAGUCUCCUUCCUUCUUUUGCCUGAUUUUUGUUGGAAGUGGAGAUGAUGUAAUGUUAUGGGUCACUUCUAUUAGUGUCCCUGGACUACAGUUCUACCAUCUAUUUUUUAAGCUAUUUUACCUCGUUAUUAUAAGAUCUGCAUAUUUGUGAGCAUCAUUUAUGUUAUUAAUAGUUAACAUCUGGGGGGGUGGGGGAGGGAUAGCAUUAGGAAAUAUACCUAAUGUUAAAUGAUGAGUUAAUGGGUGCAGCGCACCAACAUGGCACAGGUAUACAUAUGUAACAAACCUGCACGUUGUGCACAUGUACCCUAAAACUUAAAGUAUAAUAAUAAAAAAAAAAGUUAACAUC